rnacentral:rRNA from 1 species
UACGUAGGGCGCAAGCGUUGUCCGGAAUUAUUGGGCGUAAAGAGCUCGUAGGCGGUUUGUCGCGUCUGCUGUGAAAACCUAAGGCUCAACCUUGGGCUUGCAGUGGGUACGGGCAGACUAGAGUGCGGUAGGGGUGACUGGAAUUCCUGGUGUAGCGGUGGAAUGCGCAGAUAUCAGGAGGAACACCGAUGGCGAAGGGCAGGUCACUGGGCCGCAACUGACGCUGAGG